UGUAGCCAAAGCUUGUGUUUGAAUUCAAGCUGUUUCUGUGACAGGAUUCAGCUUGGCUUGCUUUCACAGCAGCAGUGGGGAACCAUCCUGAAGCGUCAAUGGUGUCCAAGAGCCCUUGAGGAGAGAAACUGCUAUAUGAGGGGCCUUUGAUCCAGUUCCACCUUUGAAGUGGUGACUGAUGUUUGUCUUCAUGUAUUUCUGGUACCUGCAUUGAUUGUCCAUGCAGCAGCUUGGGAAUGUUUUCUGUGUCUACCUCUGUGGUAGCAAAAGCUUUCUGCUGCUCAGAAAAGCUCAGGUUGCCCAGUGCUGUUUGCUCAUUCACCCACUAGCAGUGUGAAGGUGAACCUAAUAGAAAUGGCAAAUUGCGGGUUGAGAAUAACUGAUGCAGGUGUACUUGAGACUACUGUGGAUGCUGACGGUGCAGAGAUGUUCUUAAAUACACGCUCCAGAGCAUCAGAAAACUACUUCAAGCAUGUAUUGGCCACUGUUGGAUGCUGAUGAAAUGAACUAAGGAGGCUGUGUCUCAUCCUACGUUGUGAAACCCUGAUCAUGAGAAACAAGCCACUGUUAAGGGUGGGCUUGUAUUGAAUUGGCAUCAACCUUGUACUGGCUUUGCAGUGAAUGUAAGGGGAAGACAAAGGAACAGAAGAAGAUAGGAGAGAGCAGGUUAAAUGUACUGGUUUGUUUUUCAGUUACCAGAGAAGAUGACAAUAACCUGGAAUAAGAAAAUGAGGAAAAACAGCAGGAUAUUGUGUAACUGGGGAAGACCCCAGGUCCUGAAGCAAAGCGUUUUGCUCGCAUAGAACUCUCAGAGAGAGUCUGUGACUCUGCAGAUCGGCUUCGAGACACUCUGGCUCAUGAGGCUUGCCACGCAGCCAGCUGGCUGAUCAACGGGUGUUCAGGAUGGCCAUGGACCCUUCUGGAAGUUCUAUGCUCAUAAAUCAGCUGUGAUUCAUCCUGAACUGCCAGCAGUAACACGAUGCCACAGCUAUGAGAUUAAUUACAAGUUCACCUAUCAGUGUGUUCUCUGCAAAGCUACGUGAGUAAUGUCAUCUUGCACAUGACCGUG